UACGUAGGGGGCAAGCGUUGUCCGGAAUCAUUGGGCGUAAAGCGCGUGUAGGCGGUUCGAUAAGUCUGCUGUGAAAGUCCAGGGCUCAACCCUGGGAUGCCGGUGGAUACUGUCGGUCUAGAGUGCGGAAGAGGCGAGUGGAAUUCCCGGUGUAGCGGUGAAAUGCGCAGAUAUCGGGAGGAACACCAAUUGCGAAGGCAGCUCGCUGGGACGUUACUGACGCUGAGACGCGAAAGCGUGGGGAGCAAACAGG
rnacentral:rRNA from 1 species